rnacentral:piRNA from 1 species
UGAUGGCUAACGUGGGCAAGGAGA